rnacentral:rRNA from 1 species
AUACCGGAUGGUAUAGUUUUCCCGCAUGGGAUGAUUAUUAAAGAAUUUCGGUUGUCGAUGGGGAUGCGUUCCAUUAGGCAGUUGGCGGGGUAACGGCCCACCAAACCUACGAUGGAUAGGGGUUCUGAGAGGAAGGUCCCCCACAUUGGAACUGAGACACGGUCCAAACUCCUACGGGAGGCAGCAGUGAGGAAUAUUGGUCAAUGGACGAGAGUCUGAACCAGCCAAGUAGCGUGAAGGAUGACUGCCCUAUGGGUUGUAAACUUCUUUUAUACGGGAAUAAAGUGAGCCACGUGUGGCUUUUUGUAUGUACCGUAUGAAUAAGGAUCGGCUAACUCCGUGCCAGCAGCCGCGGUAAUACGGAGGAUCCGAGCGUUAUCCGGAUUUAUUGGGUUUAAAGGGAGCGUAGGCGGGUUGUUAAGUCAGUUGUGAAAGUUUGCGGCUCAACCGUAAAAUUGCAGUUGAUACUGGCGACCUUGAGUGCAACAGAGGUAGGCGGAAUUCGUGGUGUAGCGGUGAAAAUGCUUAAAUAUCACGAAGAACUCCGAUUGCGAAGGCAGCUUACUGGAUUGUAACUGACGCUGAUGCUCGAAAGUGUGGG